GCACAGUCGAUAUCGCGCCGGACUUCGGGCUUGAAGGUCGAGGGUUCGAGACCUGCUCCUUGCUGUUUCAUUACAUUGGUGUCAGAAGUGGAAUCGGACCUUGCAUCCACCACAGUGCGUGUGCUUGGCCGGUGAGCGCGUUCCUGUAAGACGUUGAGUCGCAAGCUAGCGCGAGGACGCGCUCUUUGAAAGGAGGGAGUAGUGUAACGACCCUGGGUUUAUGCUUUUGCGGCACAGUCGAUAGCGCGCCGGACUUCGGGCUUGAAGGUCGAGGGUUCGAGACCUGCUCCUUGCUUUCAACCUUGCUGUUUCAUUACAAUAUUAUUCUCGGGUCUUCUCUCGCUCUCUCUCUCACACACACACACACACACACACACACACACACAUAUACCUGAACCCCCGCCCAUUUCAGUCAUAAAACUCAAGCACAACACAGACAGACACGCCAAAAUAGCUGCCGCGUCUCUGUCGGAUCUCGUCUGUUAAUCGAUCUCACUUCAGCUCAGAAUCCCAUUCCGCUCCUGCUGUCCCAUAUGAAGAGGGGGAAAGAAAGCACUCCCCGACCACGCACGUUCACAUCGAAGCUGUCUUCAACUUUCUCGCUGACCAGCUUUUUCGCAGCGGAACAUGAGUGAUAAAGAUAAAAACGCCGGCCUCUUCUCUUCUCACCUGAGACAGCUGCUGGGCACUGUCACGUUGGAUUCCGAUUUCGCUGCUGCUGCUGGUAUUGAAAUAUCUGACCGCUGCUAUUUGCUUGUUGUUUACUUAAGCACGAUCAUGACCCUUUACCCUUGUGACAAAGUCACCACAAUCGUGUAGCAGUCUAAUGCUUGUGGCUAGCUGAUGAAGUGGAGCUGCUGCAUGGUCUUAGCGGUUGCUGUUUCUGUAAUCUGUGAGCCUACCCCGGCCAACCCUGGCCGACGCUGUUUCUCCACCGACUAUUGGAUAAAGGGAACCAUGAGGUGUUAACAACGCUCGGUGGAGACUAAAGAUUCUGACUGCCAAUGUGUCCAGCCUGAGACAUGCCCUUAACACUAGAAUCGCUGGGCCUCGAGGGACGCCCCUUCAGAAGCGCUGGGCCUCGAGGGACGCCCCUUCAGAAUCGCUGGGCCUCGAGGGAUGCCCCUUCAGAAGCGCUGGGCCUCGAGGGACGCCCCUUCAGAAUCGCUGGGCCUCGAGGGACGCCCCUUCAGAAUCGCUGGGCCUCGAGGGAUGCCCCUUCAGAAGCGCUGG
rnacentral:lncRNA from 1 species